rnacentral:lncRNA from 1 species
UGUGAAUUUCAGGAUCCACAUUCGGGGAAGAUGAUUGACAAUGCUAAGGAACAUGAGGGACUUUACAUGUUUGAAGAUGAAAUAAGCAUAUGUGGGCAAGCAAGAGUAGGCAGUUUAGAUGUUUUUAAUACUAAGGAUGAUGAAAUAAUGUUAUGGCACCUUAGGUUAGGCCACACAAGUUUUCAGUACCUUAAACAUCACCAUGCACAUUUUCCUUCUCG